GGAGGGGUGGCAGAGCGGACAAAUGCGACGGUCUUGAAAACCGUUGGGUCACAAGCCCCGUGGGUUCGAAUCCCACCCCCUCCG
rnacentral:tRNA from 1 species